rnacentral:rRNA from 1 species
GACGAACGCUGGCGGCGUGCUUAACACAUGCAAGUCGAACGGAAAGGCGCUGCUUUUGUGGGGUGCUCGAGUGGCGAACGGGGGAGUAACACGCGAGUAACCUCCCCUUGUCUUUGGGGUAACUCCAGGAAACUGGGGCUCAUAUCGGAUAGGAGCUCCUGCUGCAUGGUGGGGGAUGGAAAGUGUCGGCGGUGGGGGCUGGACUCGCUGCUUAUCAGCUUGUUUGUGGGGUAGGGGCUUACAAAGGCUUUGACGGGUAGCCGGCCUUGGAGGGGGACCGGCCUCAAUGGGCCUGCGGUACGGCGCAGUCUCCUACGGGCGGCAGCGGGGGGGAAUAUUGCACAACGGGCCGACGUCUGAGGCGACGACGCCGCGUGCGGGAUGCCGGCCUACGAGUUGUAAACCGAUUUCGCCUGUGCCGAGGCGUGCGUGACGGUACUGGGUAAAGAAGCACCGGCUAACUACGUG